CCUACGGGUGGCAGCAGUGAGGAAUAUUGGUCAAUGGCCGGAAGGCUGAACCAGCCAUGCCGCGUGAAGGGCAGGGGCCUAGGGGCGGUAAACUUCUUUUGUGCGGGAGCAAGAAUGGGCACGGGUGGCCAGACGAGAGUACCGUACGAAGAAGCAGCGGCGAACUCCGUGCCAGCAGCCGCGGGAAUACGGGGGAUGCAAGCGUUAUCCGGAUUUCUUGGGUUUAAAGGGGGCGUAGGCUGGGAGGUAAGUCAGCGGUGAAAUGCCCCCGCUCACCGGGGUGAAGUGCCAUUGAUACUGCCUUGCUGGACUGCGGAUGCCGUGGGCGGACUGUGUUUUGUAGCG
rnacentral:rRNA from 1 species